CGUCUAUAUACGUAUAGCAUAUCAAUAAGCGGAGGAAAAGAAACUAACUAGGAUUCCCUCAGUAACGGCGAGUGAAGCGGGAAGAGCUCAAAUUUGAAAUCUUCAAGGUUCUACCUUGACGAAUUGUAGUUUAAAGAAGUGUUUUCUGUUGGAGUUUUGGUAAAAGUUCUUUUGAAUAGGACAUCAUAGAGGGUGAGAAUCCCGUAUUUGACCAUUAUUUCCAACUUUGUGAUACACUUUCAAAGAGUCGGAUUGUUUGGGAAUGCAGUCCAAAAUGGGUGGUAAAUUUCAUCUAAAGCUAAAUACUGGCGAGAGACCGAUAGCGAACAAGUACCGUGAGGGAAAGAUGAAAAGAACUUUGAAAAGAGAGUUAAACAGUACGUGAAAUUGUCAAAAGGGAAGCGUUUGACACCAGUGUUGUUUUCUCGAAAAUCAAUUAAAAAUGGCUGGGAUUUUGUGUUGUAUUGACUUUAUCAGCUUUCUGCACUUUUUUCCUGUACCUUUUUUAAUGCACUUUUCGUUUAACAAGUCAACAUCAAUUUCUUUUGUUGUAAAAGGGUCAUUGGAAGGUGGCUUUCUUUUCGGAGAAAGUGUUUAUAGCCUUUGACUUCUGCAAUCGGAGAGAUUGAGGUCUGCAGCGUAGAUCCUUCGGGGUUAGAUACAUUUGUGCUAAGUUAUAGCCUUUCAUAGACAACUUGUUAACUAUGAUCAGUCAUGUAGCUUACUCGCUUAUGUUAUUUUACCUACGCUUAGGAUGUUGAUCUGUAGUGCGUGCGC
rnacentral:rRNA from 1 species